AGUUCUAGUGGAAAACUUGGAUAAAUGGUUCUGCUUUGCUCAAAGUACAUCAAGUGGUAAAGUAUUGGGUGUGUUUUAUGGUAAAGGAGAGGAGGAAUGGGUGGUCAACUUUAAGAAAAGUAUUGCAACUAUGAGGGAACAGCAGUUAUUAAUGAAACUGAUUCACAAUCAAAGCACACCUCACAUUACAAAUUCUUUGAAGAAGGAAAUAAGCGGCAGAUUCAAGAAAGAAGGGUUGACACUAAGGAUGUCAAAGUCUUUGCUGGAAAUUCUGCAGGCUCAUCAG